GGUAGCAUAAUCAUUAGUCUUUUAAUUGGAGACUGGUAUGAAUGGCUAAACGAGAGAUCAACUUUUUUUACCGUAAAAAUUGAAUUUAACUUUUUAGUGAAAAGGCUAAAAUUUUUCAGAAAGACGAGAAGACCCUAUAGAGUUUUAUAAAGGACUAAUACUUUUUAUUUGGAUUUUUAUAAAAAAUAUUAAUAAAUUUAUUUUGUUGGGGCGACAUUUGGAUAAAAAAAACUCUUUAUAAGAAAAAUUUUUAUGAAAAUAUGGAUUGAUCCUUUUAAAAAGAUCAUAAGAAAAAAUUACCUUAGGGAUAACAGCGUAAUCUUUUUUGAGAGUUCUAAUCGACAAGAAGGUUUGCGACCUCGAUGUUGGACUAAAAUUAGGGCAGGGU
rnacentral:rRNA from 1 species